AGUGAACGCUGGCGGUAGGCCUAACACAUGCAAGUCGAACGGCAGCACAGUAAGAGCUUGCUCUUACGGGUGGCGAGUGGCGGACGGGUGAGGAAUACAUCGGAAUCUACUUUUUCGUGGGGGAUAACGUAGGGAAACUUACGCUAAUACCGCAUACGCCCUACGGGUGAAAGCAGGGGAUCUUCGGACCUUGCGCGAUUGAAUGAGCCGAUGUCGGAUUAGCUAGUUGGCGGGGUAAAGGCCCACCAAGGCGACGAUCCGUAGCUGGUCUGAGAGGAUGGUCGGCGACACUGGAAGUGAGACACGGUCCAGACUCCUACGGGAGGCAGCAGUGGGGAGUAUUGGACAAUGGGCGCAAGCCUGAUCCAGCCAUACCGCGUGGGCGAAGAAGGCCUUCGGGUUGUAAAGCCCUUUUGUUGGGAAAGAAAAGCAGCAGGUUAAUACCCCGCUGUUCUGACGGUACCCAAAGAAUAAGCACCGGCUAACUUCGUG
rnacentral:rRNA from 1 species